AGCGAACGCUGGCGACAGGCCUAACACAUGCAAGUCGAACGGACCCUUCGGGGUUAGUGGCGGACGGGUGAGUAACACGUGGGAACGUGCUUUUUGGUUCGGAACAACUCAGGGAAACUUGAGCUAAUACCUAAUGUGCCAUUCGGGGGAAAGAUUUAUCGCCAUUAGAUCGGCCCGCGUCUGAUUAGCUUGUUGGUGAGGGAAUGGCUCGCCAAGGCGACGAUCAGUAGCUGGUCUGAGAGGAUGAUCAGCCACAUUGGGACUGAGACACGGCCCAAACUCCUACGGGAGGCAGCAGUGAGGAAUCUUGCGCUAUGGGCGAAAGCCUGACGCAGCCAUGCCGCGUGAAUGAUGAAGGUCUUAGGAUUGUAAAAUUCUUUCACCGGGGACGAUAAUGACGGUACCCGGAGAAGAAGCCCCGGCUAACUUCGUGCCAGCCGCCGCAGUAAAAC
rnacentral:rRNA from 1 species